GACGAACGCUGGCGGCGUGCUUAACACAUGCAAGUCGAGCGGUAAGGCCCUUUCGGGGUACGACGAGCGGCGAACGGGUAGAGUAACACGUGGGUGGACCUCGCCCUCCAGCUCUGGGAGUAAGACCCGGGAAACCGUAGGGUCGUAAUACUGGAUAUGACUCCACGGUGCAUGCCGUGGGGUGGAAAGCCUUGUGCGGCGUGAGGAGUGGGCCCGGCCGGCCUAUCAGCUUGUUGGUGGGGUGAUGGCCUACCAAGGCGACGACGGGUAGCCGG
rnacentral:rRNA from 1 species